AAUGUGACAAUUGCCCUCCGUCCAUUGUCCCUUGUAUGUCCCUUUUUCUUUCCCACUCGUUCAAACAAACAUAAUUAACAUGGCGUUUCCUUCAUGUUGUGAGACACAAGCUUGAAAAAGAUCAUGGCUGGAGAAGCAAAGGAUUCACCGGGUAAACACACCUUUCGUUUGCAUUCACCACACAUCUAGCAUGAGUAAAACAGAUAUCUCUCAUGAUUGUGUACAUCUGAAAAAAAACAACCGUGUGUGGAUAAUUACAUAGCUGAAGAAACACAUCAGAUUCACAAACCAAAUCCAAGAUCAUAGGCAGCAUAAUCAUGAAACAACCUUAUUAAAACUGUAAGAAAAUAUAACAUAAUCCAAGUCCUCACUUGGAUGCAGGGACCAAAAAUUGAGCUCUGUAACUUUACUUACGUGUCACAAAAAGAACACUAGAACCAGGAAGAAUACUAGAACAAAAGUAGUCUGGGGAGACAAGAACAGAGAAACUACUUGCAAGUUUCUGAAUUCGUAGCUACAGAAUUGCAACCUACACAGCAAAACCAAAAUGACAUCAGGGUAAAUAAUAAAAUAAAGAAACAACCAAAUGCAUGAAAGUAAAUUACAAAGAAGACAGAGAUUGGCUACCUGACAAUGCUCAGUGCUAAAAAUCCACAUAAUAGACCCUACUCAACCGCAGAGUACAAGGGUAAAAACCAACUAACAGUCCCUAGUCAAAUUCACUAAAGGUAGAAUCCACUGAAAAAUUACAGUCUAAACCCACUUAGAGUUA
rnacentral:lncRNA from 1 species